rnacentral:rRNA from 1 species
AUUGAACGCUGGCGGCAGGCCUAACACAUGCAAGUCGAGCGGAGCGGCGGACGGGUGCGUAAUGCUUAGGAAUCUGCCUGGUAGUGGGGGAUAACGUCCGGAAAUGGGCGCUAUUAUCGCAUACUAUCAGAUGAGCCUAGGUCGGAUUAGGGUGUUGGUGGGGUAAAGGCCUACCGAUGCGACGAUCCGUAACUGGUCUGAGAGGAUGAUCAGUCACACUGGAACGUAGACACGGUCCAGACUCCUACGGGAGGCAGCAGUGGGGAAUAUUGGAAAAUGGGCGAAAGCCUGAUCCAGCCAUGCCGCGUGUGUGAAGAAGGUCUUCGGAUUGUAAAGCACUUUAAGUUGGGAGGCGUUACCAACAGAAUAAGCACCGGCUAACUUCGUGCCAGCAGCCGCGGUAAUUC